GAAGAUUGACAGAUGGAGCUAGCUCAGUGUUUAGUGCUCUGCCCACUGUUCUUGAGAAUCCAAGCCCACCCAAAUCAUCCUUCAAUGAGUGCUAACUAAGCAGAGGAGACGAGCCAGAGUUCAGAGCAACGUCUCCUAAUGUGACUCACUCACUCUCUCUCUUCUGAUCUCCUUUCUCCCAAGUUAUCCGAUCGUAGCUAAGACCUCUACUACUACUACUAUGGUUGUUCCUGUGGAAGAAGCCAUUGCGGCGCUAUCUACAUUCUCACUUGAGGUAUUUCCUGUGAACACACU